UCCUGUCUGAUCCCUCCCUCUCCUCCCCGAGUUCCACCGCCCCAGGCGCACAGGUUUCCGCCAGAUGUCUUUUCUUCUUCGCAGUCUUUGCCCGAGCGCUUCCGAGAGCCAGUUCUGGACUGAUCGCCUUGGAUGGGAUACCGGGGGAGGGCAGAAGGACACUUGGCUUCCUCUCCAGGAAUCUGAGCGGCCCUGAGGUCCGGGGGCGCAGGGAAUCCCCUCUCCCGCCGCCGCCGCCGUGUCUGGUCUGUACGUCUUUAGAGGGUCGAGGAAGUCACGUCGGGACAGACUGGGGCGAGUAAGGUUAAGAAAGGCUGACAUGUUUUAUGUUUUAGUGACGACGCUUAAUAGGCUGUAUAUCUGCUCUAUAUGCAGCACAUACAUACAUAGCUUUUUAAAAAACUCUUAUUUUGUGGAAUGAAAUAGCUACCUUCAGUGUACAUAGCUGUAAUUUAUCUUUGUAGCUAAGUUGCUUUCAACAGAAGAAAUACUGUUCUCCGUACCUUCACCCCCUCCUUGUUUCUUGGAAAGAGAGGCGGGAAAGGUAAAUUCUCCUCAUAAUACUGGUCCUAAGCAGUUACCCUGUAAAUAGUUAAUGUGAGCUCCACGGGUCACCAAUAUAAAGUUUCCUGCCUUCUGAUGGACAAAGGAAGCGGCGAUGGCCAGAAUUUGCAGGGACGCUAAAUGUCCAAAACGUAUGCCUUAAGGCAUUUCUCUCCCUGAUGCGUGGAUUAUUUUGGUUACUAGCCCUUCAUAGGAGAUACUGGUAAAAUAAAUUCGAGUUUUAAAGUUCA
rnacentral:lncRNA from 1 species